AUAUCUCUAGGGCUGAAGCACGAGA
rnacentral:piRNA from 1 species